CGGGGCCCCAGGCGGCGGAGCCGGCCCAGCUGGGCGCGCUGCUGGUGGGAGACGGGCGGCCGCGGAAGAUGAAGAUCCAGUUUCAAACGUGAGAUUCACUGGGUGAUCACUUCAUUGAAAUCAACUUGAAUGACCAGAUAAAAAGUGCAAGAGGAAUGUGCUGUGACUGAGAGCGGAAGGGAGAGGGAUAGAGAGUUAGAAACAUUGACCAGCUACCUCC